rnacentral:rRNA from 1 species
GACGAACGCUGGCGGCGUGCUUAACACAUGCCAGUCGAACGGAAAGGCCCUGCUUUUGUGGGGUGCUCGAGUGGCGAACGGGUGAGUAACACGUGAGUAACCUGCCCUUGACUUUGGGAUAACUUCAGGAAACUGGGGCUAAUACCGGAUAGGAGCUCCUGCUGCAUGGUGGGAGUUGGAAAGUUUCGGCGGUUGGGGAUGGACUCGCGGCUUAUCAGCUUGUUGGUGGGGUAGUGGCUUACCAAGGCUUUGACGGGUAGCCGGCCUGAGAGGGUGACCGGCCACAUUGGGACUGAGAUACGGCCCAGACUCCUACGGGAGGCAGCAGUGGGGAAUAUUGCACAAUGGGCGGAAGCCUGAUGCAGCAACGCCGCGUGCGGGAUGACGGCCUUCGGGUUGUAAACCGCUUUCGCCUGUGACGAAGCGUGAGUGACGGUAAUGGGUAAAGAAGCACCGGCUAACUACGUC